rnacentral:rRNA from 1 species
GUGGGGAAUAUUGGACAAUGGGCGCAAGCCUGAUCCAGCCAUGCCGCGUGAGUGAUGAAGGCCUUAGGGUUGUAAAGCUCUUUCAGUGGGGACGAUAAUGACGGUACCCACAGAAGAAGCCCCGGCUAACUUCGUGCCAGCAGCCGCGGUAAUACGAAGGGGGCUAGCGUUGUUCGGAUUUACUGGGCGUAAAGCGCACGUAGGCGGAUCGUUAAGUCGGGGGUGAAAUCCUGGAGCUUAACUCCAGAACUGCCUUCGAUACUGGCGAUCUUGAGUCCGGAAGAGGUGAGUGGAACUCCUAGUGUAGAGGUGGAAUUCGUAGAUAUUCGGAGGAACACCAGUGGCGAAGGCGGCUCACUGGCUCGAUACUGACGCUGAGGUGCGAAAGCGUGGGGAGCAAACAGGAUUAGAUACCCGGGUAGUCC